GUAGUCCAUGCCGUAAACGAUGAUAGCUAGGUGUGGGGGGACUGACCCCUUCCGUGCCGGAGUAAACACAAUAAGCUAUCCACCUGGGGAGUACGGCCGCAAGGCUGAAACUCAAAGGAAUUGACGGGGGCCCGCACAAGCAGUGGAGUAUGUGGUUUAAUUCGAAGCAACGCGAAGAACCUUACCAGGUCUUGACAUCCAACUAACGAAGCAGAGAUGCAUUAGGUGCCCUUCGGGGAAAGUUGAGACAGGUGGUGCAUGGUUGUCGUCAGCUCGUGUCGUGAGAUGUUGGGUUAAGUCCCGCAACGAGCGCAACCCCUGCCAUUAGUUGCUACGCAAGAGCACUCUAAUGGGACCGCUACCGACAAGGUGGA
rnacentral:rRNA from 1 species